rnacentral:rRNA from 1 species
GGGCUUGACAUCCCACGAACCUCCCAUGAAAGUGGGUCUUCUCUCCCACAAGGAGAGACUGGGUGACAGGUGUUGCAUGGCUGUCGUCAGCUCGUGUCGUGAGAUGUUGGGUUAAGUCCCGCAACGAGCGCAACCCUCAUCGCAUGUUGCCAGCGUAAAGUCGGGCACUCUUGCGAAACUGCCCGUGUAAGCGGGAGGAAGGUGGGGAUGACGUCAAGUCGGCAUGGCCCUUACGCCUGGGGCUACACACAUGCUACAAUGGCCGGUAACAGAGGGCAGCAAGACCGCGAGGUGGAGCUAAUCCCAAAAACCCGGCCCCAGUUCGGAUUGCAGUCUGCAACUCGACUGCAUGAAGGCGGAAUCGCUAGUAACCGCAGAUCAGCUAUGCUGCGGUGAAUACGUUCCCGGGCCUUGUACACACCGCCCGUCAAGUGAUCUGAGUCGGCUGUACUCGAAGUCGCUGAG